CCUGAAAGAUGGUGAUCAACACCCUGUCGGGAGGAUGCCAGAGGAAACUCUGGUGGAAGUUCGAAGGGCUUCUGACGUGCAAAUCGAUCGUCGGAACCAGGUGUAGGGGCGAAAGACAAUUGAGUCGUCUUGUAGCUAG
rnacentral:rRNA from 1 species